UCGAAGAGCCUUUCCCCUUUAGCCUCGCACGCGCCCCUCCCCUUUCCGACCCUCGCUGUCAGCUGCCUGCGCUUCGCCAACCGCGCCUUGCUAACCAUCGCUCGUUCUCACUGAUGGUAGCUCGUUGGUAGGUUGUCGCCCACGCAGAAGCCAUCGCUCGUGUCGCAUUUUUCAUCCGCAGCUCGCCCAUCCAGCAGCGCGCGUCAGAUCUAUCUGGCGUCGGACCGCCCAAAGUCACCGCGUGCUCCAGUCGUCUCUGUCGCCCUGUCCAAUUGCAUGUUUGAGACGUCGUCGACAACGUCGGUCGCUGCCACAUGUCAGUUCGGUCGUCCGACGUCACCUACUGCCAUUCAGCCGCCGGAACCUUAUUUGGGUGAGCUUUAGAUUCAGGGCUUGGAAGUUUUGAGGUGGCCAACAAAUUCAAGACCAAUUUUGACAAAGAUGGUUAGAUUGUGGUAAAUUUUCCUUGGGCAAAUUCAAGUUUAUUCAAAAGCUUUAAGGACACUAUUUUCGUGGACUGUUGUUCGUGACCAAAUAUGAGAAGGACUUGGGAAAAAGUACUCAAAUCUUGAGAAGAUAAAGAAGCUAUUGUGGUCUUUG